CAGUACCGUGAGGGAAAGGUGAAAAGCACCCCGGAAGGGGAGUGAAAGAGAUCCUGAAACCGUGUGCCUACAAAUAGUCAGAGCCCGUUAAUGGGUGAUGGCGUGCCUUUUGUAGAAUGAACCGGCGAGUUACGAUCCCGUGCGAGGUUAAGCUGAAGAGGCGGAGCCGCAGCGAAAGCGAGUCUGAAUAGGGCGUUUAGUACGUGGUCGUAGACCCGAAACCAGGUGAUCUACCCAUGUCCAGGGUGAAGUUCAGGUAACACUGAAUGGAGGCCCGAACCCACGCACGUUGAAAAGU
rnacentral:rRNA from 1 species